AGAAGGCUGAUUUCAUUACUUGCUAAGGACCAGAGUCUGCCACCCAUGGCUUGUAAAGAGCAACACUUUUUCUUGGAAGAUCUCACUGUCAGACCGAUGAACUGUUAGAGAGUCCAUGGAAAUAUUUUGAAAAGAAAUUGCUGACCAAGGAUCAUAUAAUCUGUGCAACUUCAUUCUAAAUAAUGUUAUUCAAUCAGAGAGGAAUAUCAGAAAGUUUAGCAAACAGGAGGAGAAAAACCUGAUCUGAAUAAUCUAUGCGUGAAAAUCCUAAUUGAGAGUGAGGAGAAUGGCAAAGAUGGUUCUAUCUGCAAGAAGUGUUGCAACAUCAUUUGCCUUUACUGUACAAUUAACAGAGUAAUGGGGAGUAACUCCUAAAAAUUUUUUAAUUGUUCAGUUCUCAGCACAAAAUGAUUACAUGUCAUCUGGGUUUUCAUGUUGUUGUUUUUGGCUGAAAUCUGCGCAUCUGCAGCUGAAAUCAAGGCUUGAACUUCCUGUUUGGUCAUGCCCCCACCAACAGACUGUGCUGUGACAUCGUAGCUUCUGUCUGCCUUUGAGGGAGCAACUGUGCGUCGAAGGGGAGUUGAACUGGUUCAUAGACAUGGAGAUGAGGGAAGUGAAGAUGAUAAGAACUGCUAGGCCUCAAUACUUCGAUUCGGCUUUUACAACCCUCCAACUCUGUACCUUGUAAGCGGAAGAUGCUGCUGCUGAGUUCCUUGUAAGGGCCAGAGGGUGCAAGACUUCUAACAGUUUCAUGACAGGCUGACAUUUAACAGGUGCAACUUUACUACUACAACAAAUAUUUAUAUAUUGCUUUUCUAUAAAGGUUCCCAAAGCAGUUUACACGGAUAUAAAUAAAUACAAGUUUCUAG